AUGAUAACAGUUUUCAUCGACGGUUACUAUGAGGAACCAAUGGAUGUCAUGGCACUGUUUGGUCUGAGGGGCAUUCAGCAUACUCCCAUCAGCAUCAAGAAUGCCCGUGUAUCUCAGCACUACAAGACCAGCCUCACUGCCACUUUCAACCUGUUUCCAGAAGCCAAAUUUGCUGUGGUUCUGGAAGAGGACUUGGACAUUGCUGUAGAUUUCUUCAGCUUCUUAAGCCAAUCCAUCCACCUGCUGGAGGAGGAUAACAGCCUGUAUUGCAUCUCAACCUGGAAUGACCAGGGAUAUGAACACAUGGCUGAAGACCCAGCACUGUUGUACCGAGUGGAGACCAUGCCUGGAUUGGGCUGGGUACUCAGGAAAUCCUUGUAUAGAGAGGAACUUGGACCUAAGUGGCCCACACCAGAAAAGCUCUGGGACUGGGACAUGUGGAUGCGGAUGCCUGAACAACGCCGGGGCCGAGAGUGCAUCAUCCCUGACAUUUCCCGAUCUUACCACUUUGGCAUUGUUGACCUCAAUAUGAAUGGCGACUUCCAUGAAGCCUAUUUCAAGAAGCACAAGUUCAACACAGUUCCAGGUGUCCAGCUUAGGAAUGUGGACAGCUUGAAGAAGGAAGCUUAUGAAGUGGAAAUUUCACAGACUACUCAGUGAGGCUGAGGUCCUGGAUCACAGCAAAAACCCUUGGGAAGACUCUUUAUUGCCAGAUACGGAAGGUCACACCUAUGUGCCCUUAUUUUAUGGAGAAAGAUGAUGACUUCACCACCUGGACCCAGCUUGCCAAGUGCCUCCAUAUCUGGAACCUAGAUGUACGGGGAAACCAUCGGGGACUGGGGAGGUUAUUUCGGAAGAAGAACCACUUCCUUGUGGUGGGAGUCCCAGCCUCCCCCUACUCAGUGAAGAAACCACCAUCAGUCACCCCCAUAUUCCUGGAGCCACCCCCAAAGGAAGAGGGGGCCCCAGGAGCUGCAGAGCAAACAUGAGACCUCCUCCAAGACCCUGCAGG